rnacentral:lncRNA from 1 species
UCCGGCCGGAGUUCCCGCGUUCCCCUCGACCCCCCACUGUUGAUCCUCCUCUCGCUGUCCGGGGCAUGGCGGAGUCAGGUGGGCUGAAGUCGCACGGGGGGCGGAGCGCGAGCAGGAGGCCUUCGGCCCCCCCAGUCCUCUGUAGGACAGCACCCCCUUGCUAGAGAUUAGCAGCUGUUUGCCGAAGGUCGCUCCAGCCCUGGCUCUUUGAAGCAGUUUAAACAGUUGGUGCAAGCACACCGGGAGCCCCGGCCCGUGCGCUGCUAUCGGAGCUGCCACUCCCUGAUUUGGACCUGCAGAACCUUGCCCGCUUUAUCUCGCUCCACCGGCUGACUGUGGCGCCAGUUUCGGGGUUAGGGCUCUGAGCUGGGACCCGGACUUUGCAAGAGGCCAACUGCCCUCUGGCCCCAGGUCCCAUUCAGUUGCUGGUGCUCAAACACCUCUGCCCCAGGGAGAUGGAUGAGUCCACGCUGCAAACUCGUGCUCGCUUACUCGAAGGCCCUCCACUUCUCCCACGUGCCCUGGGCUCGGGGCCCAAGCGGUCACUCAGUAUCACUUCAUCCACCCAGAGCCCAGCAAGCGGGCACAGCUCUAACAGAAUCACCGAAGUGGAUUCUAAGACUCUCAGGGUUCCUUUACACGUACUUACUCUAUUUGGGAAUUUUGAGGUAUGAUCUCAUAAGGCCCCACCUCUCAAGCUGUUUUUAGAGCAGCGUUUCUCAACCGUCGUAAUGCAGCGACCCUUUAAUAUAGUUCGUGUUGUGGUGACCUCCAACUAGAAAAGUAUUUUUGCUGCUACUUCAUAACUAAUUUUGUUGCUAUAAAUUGUAAUGUAAGUAUCGGAUGUGCAAAAUAUCUGAGAUGCUUGGGGUGGCUCUCCACAGGCUGAGAACUGUACCAUAGACUCUGCCACUUGGGUUUGGUGGUGGUGGUGGUGGUAGUGACUGUUUUCACAACGUUCAUUCCCAAACAUACUUCUUUAACUGCCCCCGAAAAAAAAUCCAAUUUCUAAAAUAGUUAUAUGGGCUUAGAAAAAAAAUCGAGGGAUGUUUUAAUGUGUUAAUAGUUGAAAACCCAGAGUAUUUUUAUCUUUCUCUUUGUUGUUUUAAGUAUGUUUGAACACAAAUAUCUUCUUUUGAAUUUUUUUUUUUUUUUUUGGUUUUUUAAGACAGGGUUUUUCUGUGUAGCCCUGGCUGUCCUGACACUCACUCUGUAGACCAGGCUGGCCUAGAACUCAGAAAUCUGCCUGCCUCUGCCUCCCAAGUGCUGGGGCUAAAGGUUUGCGCCACCACUGCCUGGCUUGAAAUGUAUUUUAAAAACCACUACCCUAUUAUGGGCCUGGGGUCAGUUAGAGAUUCAACAAUCUGACAAAGAAAGGUCUCUUACUCAGAUCCUAGCGCUAGGUCUCCAGCUGAGACUCAGGACUUCUGAAUGCAAUGCUCAGCCAUUUGUUCUCUCACAAACAGAAUGCAAACAGAAUCUCCUUCUCCAGCAAAACAGAAACAGCAGUAAAAAAAAUUUAACCCUUAACGGCCCUUAACAUUUGGAGGUCUAAUUUUGCUUUAUAGUUCUCUGGAGCACCGAAAAUUUAAACUUUUAAACAUAAAGUUAGCCAACAACAUAAUAUUUCAUAGUAUUAAUGCUGCAGGGGCCAACCUCUGUCGGCAGGAGAGCUAAGGGCCUUGUGACAACUGAAAGCAGAGUUACUAGCCAGGAAGAACCUGAGAAAGGAAAUGGGAGGCUUUUACUUCCUCCUUGUAGGGCCUUUUCCCUCUCUCUGUGAUGCCAAACCAAACUGAAUAGUUUGCUUAGUAGUUUGCGUAGAAGCAGCACGUUUCCCCAAGGUCAUACAGUAAUCUCUGUGUUGUGCAUAAAGCAGAUCAAGUGCCCUACCAUGCUGUUGGAGUACCUCGGUUAAUGAAUCGACCUGUUCUUCUAAUUUUACAGUAGACUUUUCUAAUGCAAAUAAAUCCUGGGUUAUCUGACAUCUUA